rnacentral:rRNA from 1 species
UACGGAGGGUGCAAGCGUUAUCCGGAUUCACUGGGUUUAAAGGGUGCGUAGGCGGACUCUUAAGUCGGUGGUGAAAUCCUAGAGCUCAACUCCAGAACUGCCUUCGAUACUGAGAGUCUCGAGUCCGGGAGAGGUGAGUGGAACUGCGAGUGUAGAGGUGAAAUUCGUAGAUAUUCGCAAGAACACCAGUGGCGAAGGCGGCUCACUGGCCCGGUACUGACGCUGAGGUGCGAAAGCGUGGGGAGCAAACAGG